rfam:Myotis davidii contig32704, whole genome shotgun sequence.
GAGACACCCUUAUGGGGCAGGACUUGCUUCAGUGGGGCUUUGGUGUUCACUGAGUUUGCCCCUUGAGUGUGUCACU